rnacentral:rRNA from 1 species
CAUAAUCUCUACGGAGAAAAGCAGGGGAUCGUAAGACCUUGCGCUUUUGGAGCGGCCGAUGUCUGAUUAGCUAGUUGGUGGGGUAAUGGCCUACCAAGGCUUCGAUCAGUAGUUGGUCUGAGAGGACGACCAGCCACACUGGGACUGAGACACGGCCCAGACUCCUACGGGAGGCAGCAGUGGGGAAUUUUGGACAAUGGGCGCAAGCCUGAUCCAGCCAUGCCGCGUGAGUGAAGAAGGCCUUCGGGUUGUAAAGCUCUUUCAGCCGGGAAGAAAAGGCUGCGACUAAUAAUCGUAGCUCAU